rnacentral:rRNA from 1 species
ACACAUAUCAAUAAGCGGAGGAAAAGAAACCAACAGGGAUUGCCUCAGUAACGGCGAGUGAAGCGGCAAGAGCUCAAAUUUGAAAGCUGGCUCCUUCGGGGUCCGCAUUGUAAUUUGCAGAGGAUGCUUCGGGAGCGGCCCCCAUCUAAGUGCCCUGGAACGGGCCGUCAUAGAGGGUGAGAAUCCCGUCUGGGAUGGGGUGCCCGCGCCCGUGUGAAGCUCCUUCGACGAGUCGAGUUGUUUGGGAAUGCAGCUCUAAAUGGGUGGUAAAUUUCAUCUAAAGCUAAAUACUGGCCGGAGACCGAUAGCGCACAAGUAGAGUGAUCGAAAGAUGAAAAGCACUUUGAAAAGAGAGUUAAACAGCACGUGAAAUUGUUGAAAGGGAAGCGCUUGCGACCAGACUCGCUCGCGGGGUUCAGCCGGCCUUCGGGCCGGUGUACUUCCCCGCGGGCGGGCCAGCGUCGGUUUGGGCGGCCGGUCAAAGGCCCUCGGAAUGUAACGCCCCCCGGGGCGUCUUAUAGCCGAGGGUGCCAUGCGGCCAGCCCGGACCGAGGAACGCGCUUCGGCUCGGACGCUGGCAUAAUGGUCGUAAGCGACCCGUCUUGAAACACGGACCAAGGAGUCUAACAUCUACGCGAGUGUUCGGGUGUCAAACCCGUGCGCGCAGUGAAAGCGAACGGAGGUGGGAACCCCUCGGGGUGCACCAUCGACCGAUCCUGAUGUCUUCGGAUGGAUUUGAGUAAGAGCGUAGCUGUUGGGACCCGAAAGAUGGUGAACUAUGCCUGAAUAGGGCGAAGCCAGAGGAAACUCUGGUGGAGGCUCGCAGCGGUUCUGACGUGCAAAUCGAUCGUCAAAUUUGGGUAUAGGGGCGAAAGACUAAUCGAACCAUCUAGUAGCUGGUUCCUGCCGAUUCCCCCCUCUCCAGGAACC